GGGGACAGCCCAGUAGCAAUACGAAGCUGUUCUAGCGGCGGACGGGUGAGUAACGCGUGAGCAACCUGUCCCGAACGGGGGGAUAACGAGCCGAAAGGCUCACUAAUACCGCAUAAGACCACGGUGCCGCAUGGUACAGAGGUCAAAGGAGAAAUCCGGUUCGGGGUGGGCUCGCGUCUGAUUAGCUAGUUGGUGGGGUAACGGCUCACCAAGGCGACGAUCAGUAGCCGACCUGAGAGGGUGAUCGGCCACAUUGGAACUGAGAAACGGUCCAAACUCCUACGGGAGGCAGCAGUGGAGAAUAUUGGGCUAUGGACGAAAGUCUGACCCAGCAACGCCGCGUGAAGGAAGAAGGUUUUCGGAUCGUAAACUUCUAUCCUUGGUGAAGAUAAUGACGGUAGCCAAGAAGGAAGCCCCGGCUAACUACGUGCCAGCAGCCGCGGUAAUACGUAGGGGGCAAGCGUUGUCCGGAAUGAUUGGGCGUAAAGGGCGCGUAGGCGGCCUGGUAAGUCUGGAGUGAAAGUCCUGCUUUUAAGGUGGGAAUUGCUUUGGAUACUGCCGGGCUUGAGUGCAGGAGAGGUAAGUGGAAUUCCCGGUGUAGCGGUGAAAUGCGUAGAGAU
rnacentral:rRNA from 1 species